GGAAAACGAUCUACGCGAUUUGCUCCGUUAAUUUUUCGAAAAUGACCUUUACAUUUUUGUGCGGAAAAGUAGUCUGUCUGGAGAACUAAUUUUUACUUUGUCGUUUUUUGCUAUUUUUUCAAGCCGUUUUACAAGUUUAGCAUAAAUGCAAGAUAUUUUAAUUUUAAAACUUUCUGACGUUUUCUGUCAACCUAAAGCCAUCACUUUUACAUUCGCCUACUAGCAAUCAAGACUGAAUAUUUUUGAUGUCUUAAAGUGUACAUUUGACGUUUUAAGAACAUUUUGGACUUUUUCUUCAUGGUUUAAUCGGCCUAUCGACUGCAGUGAUGGGCGAAUUGGGUACAGAAAUGUGCAGUUUAGUGAUUGCGGCAUGGAAAAACGGUGGAAACAUUCUCGGCAACGGCAGAUACGAGAUAAACUAGAAGGUGAAGAGCAGCAACUACUUAAUGAUCCUGAAGAAGUUUAUUGCCGACUUCAAUGCGAACUGCGACUACACACUGUGAUGUAGUCAUUUUGCUGUUGACUGUGAUCAAUGUUUAAAAAAUUAAGUUAUUGUCAACAUUUUGCGAUGAACUUAUAUCUAUCGGCGAUAUUUUGGGUUCAUAAUCCAAAUGGCUCGAUUAAACUGUGAUUCAGCUGAAA